CCGGCGCACGGGUGAGUAACACGUAUCCAACCUGCCGUCUACUCUUGGACAGCCUUCUGAAAGGAAGGUUAAUACAAGAUGGCAUCAUGAGUCCGCAUGUUCACAUGAUUAAAGGUAUUCCGGUAGACGAUGGGGAUGCGUUCCAUUAGAUAGUAGGCGGGGUAACGGCCCACCUAGUCUUCGAUGGAUAGGGGUUCUGAGAGGAAGGUCCCCCACAUUGGAACUGAGACACGGUCCAA
rnacentral:rRNA from 1 species